CCGAAGACGUCCGCCAUCUUGGAUAAACAGAAAACAAAAACAAUACGAGUUUCUCAAGAUGAUACAACAUAUCACAUCCUUUACUCUAAAUGACAACGAUUCUUACUGCAAUGAAGAACUUGGAUAAACUUGUAAAGCCACAGUCUUUACCUCACUACUUCCUCAAUUCACCAGAACACUGUCAGUUUAGCAUCUCGAAUGAAGACGUGACUUUCGUGCACUCUUUUCAGCCUGAAUCCUGUUCACUUCUGCCCAGCCUUACCAGCCGCCUGAGACGCCCAAACAAAAUAUAUAGAAAAAUCAGCCACCAGGCACUGAGGUCAUCGAAGCGACGACAAUGACGACAUCUUCAGGCCUGUCGGGAAACAUUACAGAGAAUUACUUGUGAUGAGCUGAGCCUGACCGACACUGACCUCUGCUGGGCACAUUUGAAUGACUUGGUGAAUCCUGAGGAGUUUGAGAGGAUGCUGUUUCUGUGUGCAGAUGGUGUUAAAUCACAAACUGAGCCACUUGAGGAUGUGGAAGUUCUUCUUGCCGACACGGAUCAGACUGAGUCCGUUUGAGAGGAUUUGCUGACCAACAAUAAGCACUUGCUCUGGGUUUUCGGCCCUCUGGUGGUUUAUCCAGACACCGCCGUCCUUGAUCAUCUGAUAGCUGUGCACAACAGGACAAUAAAUUCAUUAUUUUUGGCGAAAAAGGCACAGAUGGAAUG
rnacentral:lncRNA from 1 species